rnacentral:rRNA from 1 species
GACGAACGCUGGCGGCGUGCUUAACACAUGCAAGUCGAGCGGUAAGGCCCUUUCGGGGGUACGACGAGCGGCGAACGGGUGAGUAACACGUGGGUGACCUGCCCUCAGCUCUGGGAUAAGCCUGGGAAACCGGGUCUAAUACUGGAUAUGACUCCAUGACGCAUGUUGUGGGGUGGAAAGCCUUGUGCGGCUGAGGAUGGGCCCGCGGCCUAUCAGCUUGUU